rnacentral:tRNA from 77 species
GGGCCGAUAGCUCAGCUGGGAGAGCGCCGCGUUCGCAAUGCGGAGGUCGGGAGUUCGAUCCUCCUUCGGUCCACCA